rnacentral:rRNA from 1 species
UUCACUCUAGCGAGACUGCCGGUAAUAAACCGGAGGAAGGUGGGGAUGACGUCAAAUCAUCAUGCCCCUUAUGACCUGGGCUACACACGUGCUACAAUGGCUGGUACAACAAGUCACAAGUCGGUGACGGCAAACUAAUCUCUUAAAGCCAGUCUCAUUUCGGAUUGUAGGCUGCAACUCGCCUACAUGAAGUCGGAAUCGCUAGUAAUCGCGGAUCACCACGCCGCGGUGAAUACGUUCCCGGGCCUUGUACACACCGCCCGUCACACCACGAGAGUUUGUAACACCCGAAGUCGGUGAGGUAACCAUUUGGAGCCAGCCGCCUAAGGUGGGAUAGAUGAUUGGGGUGAAGUCGUAACAAGGUAACCGUAA